GACGUAGGAGGCGAGCGUUGUCCGGAUUCAUUGGGCGUAAAGCGCGUGUAGGCGGCUUUGCAAGUCGGGUGUGAAAGCCCUCAGCUCAACUGAGGAAGUGCGCCCGAAACUGCAGAGCUUGAGUGCCGGAGAGGGUGGCGGAAUUCCCCAAGUAGAGGUGAAAUUCGUAGAUAUGGGGAGGAACACCGGUGGCGAAGGCGGCCACCUGGACGGUAACUGACGCUGAGACGCGAAAGCGUGGGUAGCAAACAGG
rnacentral:rRNA from 1 species